AUGAAUAUAUUUUUUUCUUUUUUGGGCUGCCUCACUCCUCACACGCAUUUCGCCUCUCUUGUCUCCAGAACUCAGGCCACAAGGACUGUGAUGUCCAGUAUGCGGAGCUGGAUACUGCAGCUUUGGCCUCCUCUCCCAGCCCACGAAGCUCCGCUCACACUGGCCCGGGGGAUCUUGUCGAGUAUGCAACCAUCCAGCCUAGCUCACACUAGCGCAUGCCAUUAUAGGCCUUUCCCCUCAGACUUUGGCCUCAAGGACUCUGGAAGGCGUCCGGAGGAGCUGAAUCCGGCUGAAAUCAUGUGCUACCCACGCGUCUGUAACACGGAACCCUUCCCCGAGCCUCAGCCCGCUCCAGCCUACCCUCCCGUCACCUUCCUGCCUCAGAACCCCUAUCAGCAGCAUCCAACCAACGAGCCCACCUACUCCAACACAGGCUUCCCUGCCCCCGGCCCACGCGCACCAUUCUCGUUCCCCAAGGAGCAGUCGGUGUAAGACGCCCCUUAACUUUUAGCGAACGGCGCCAUGAUCGCUUCAUGGAAAACAAAAGCCCUGCUAAAGGAUUGCUGUUGAUUCUGUCUGUUUUUUAAGCUUCAAACAUCAUCUCAUGUGAACUUGCCCCCCCCCCCCCCCACCCUCUCCUCUCCCCAUGUAUUGUGGUCUGCUUGCUUCACUCUGUAGAUGCAUUUUCACCAAGCAGAGCAGUUCAGUCCAGUACGCAAUUCGUUUUUACGAGUCACAUGACAUCAAAGCAGUUACAUCAUCAAGUGCUGCUUAAUUGGGGAAAAAAGAGCCCAUCAGAAAUUGCGGGUCUCAUCAUGGUAGCUUUGACUUUAGACGGCAGAAAUGUAAAUAAUUGGGCAGCGUACAGAGCUGAACUGUGUGGAGAUGCAGUGUAUACGACCCAGCACAGUGUGUGAUGUUAGCGUACCCUCCUCCAACACACUUUCACCCCCUCACACACCCACUCCAUGUCUGAGUGCAUCCUCACCUUUAUAUUCUAUUUUUUAUUUGAAACCCUGUACAGAUUUGUCACUCAUGAGCUCGUUUCUUAUUUUUUUCCUUAUUUCACCCCACAGUGUUAGUGACCUUUUAAAGAAACGUGCUUCUUUUCAUUUGGUUUGUUUGUCUGUCAUUCUUAUGCUUGCCUCUUUGAAAUUAAUAUUCUAUACUGUAUGUGUGACUGGUGUGUAGUGGUGGGAAAAAAAGAGAAAACUUUUUGAUUUCUGAAACUAAUUAUAAUAAAAUAAUGACAUGGACCACCCCUUUAAUGACAGUUAAUGACAGGGUUGUUAUGUGCAGAUUUGAAUUGGCAGUCUCUCAUCUGAAUCCUUCAUUAAUUUUUCAUUAUGGCUUUGCUAUUAUGGCGAUUGACUGGAUAUUUCAGACUAUUUAAAAGCGAAUGUUCCUCAUUAGCUACAACAAAAAACAAAGGGCUUGAAAUUUGACAGUAACUAUUUCUUCUGUGUCUCCAAUUAUUAUUAUUAUUAUUAUUAUUAUUAUUAUUAUUAUUGGUCCAUAUACUCUCAUGCUGGUAUUUGUUUAAUCUACCUUGUCUGUUGGGAAUUAGAAGCGUAGUUUGGGGAUGUGCUAAUUAUUCCCAGUUUACAUUAUCAUUUCCCAUAUGCUGUAUUUUCCAUAUCCGUAUGCAAACACUGGGGUUCGUUUAGGCUAACUGUUGCAGAGUUAGGAAGCAGCAGGAGCUGCUGUUUAUGCAGAUGCACCAGGUGAAGACAAUCAUGCAUUGGGUUGUCCUAGAAAAAGAUUGGGAACAAAUAUUGUUUCUUGUUUUUUGGGUUGCCCAAUCAGAAAGGGAACUACUUGUUCAAGGGAAGUUCACAUAUUUAACAUAUUUAAAGAGUUUGGUUCAUCAUGACUGGUAGUAAUAUAUUGUCGGAUACACUGAGGAGAAAUGCCUGCUGCUGUAUUUUUUUAGGAAAUGCUCAGUUAUAUUUGAUAGCACUUGAUUUAUGUGCAGACUACAGUUUACACUCCGUCCUUUUCAGACCAUACAUAAGCUAACGUGCUUUACGAGCCAAUCUGAGCGUUCUGCCUCUGACACGCCAGCCCUGUCGAGACAGAACAGUCCAUUCAGCUAUGCUAAAGUUCACUCUUUUUUUUGCCAUGUCAGAUGUUGUUUUGUUUUUUUUUAAAAAGAGAGAUGAAGCAAAUUUUUGUGUUUGUGCUAAAUGUUAAAAUAAGAUGUUGAAGGUAAUUUAGUGUUUAAAUCUUAAUGGUGGUUAAUGGAAUCGAGUAAAACUUGUGAGACUUUCUCCCGUGCUCACCUUGUUGUCUUGCGAUGGCUAUAUGCGAUAUGUGUGCUAGCAUUUAGUUUAAGCAGUGAUGUCUGGUCACUGAAGGAGUUUGAGCCUUUUACUGUACCUGCUGUGUGGAAAAAACACUUAAAACACCGAGUCUACAUGUGACACUUUGACUAUUCAGAAAAACCCUCCAGUUAAUAUUAUUAUUAUUAUCAUCAUUAUUAUUUUUUAAUAUUAUUAAUAUUGGUUUCAAUGUAUGCUUAACUGCAUUGCAUGUAUGUUUUACAUAGUUUUUCAGUCACAUUUAAUUAUUUCAAAUGUCCUGAAGAUAACUGCCAUGUCUGUUUUCACCCAUGACCUUGUUUUAUUUUGUGUUUUGUACAUUAUAGGUUAUUAACAUUAGAGUUUUUGUUUUUUGUUUUUUUGGGGUUUUUUGGGUAAUAUGCUGUGAACGUUUAGGCCUGAAGCAUAUUUGGUCUGACACUACUUGUACAACUGUUAAAGGGUAAUAUCUGAUUAAAUCUUACAGAUUUCAGCUCUUUUUUUAAAAUAAUGGCAUGAUGUGAAAUGAUUCAUCCUGUUUUGUUUUAUUCCGUGUAAAUAUUAACAGUGUAUCUGAUGUGUGAAAAAAGGAAAUGCAGUCUAACAUUAAACAUUCACACACUACCCUGAAC
rnacentral:lncRNA from 1 species